UGGGGAAUUUUGGACAAUGGGCGCAAGCCUGAUCCAGCCAUGCCGCGUGAGUGAAGAAGGCCUUCGGGUUGUAAAGCUCUUUCGGUUGGGAAGAAAUUGCUUCGGAUAAUACCCGGAGUAGAUGACGGUACCAGCAUAAGAAGCACCGGCUAACUACGUGCCAGCAGCCGCGGUAAUACGUAGGGUGCGAGCGUUAAUCGGAAUUACUGGGCGUAAAGCGUGCGCAGGCGGUUUUGUAAGGCAGAUGUGAAAGCCCCUGGCUCAACCUGGGAACUGCAUUUGAGACUGCAAGGCUAGAGUGUGGCAGAGGGGGGGGGAAUUCCACGUGUAGCAGUGAAAUGCGUAGAGAUGUGGAGGAACACCGAUGGCGAAGGCAGCCCCCUGGGCCAAUACUGACGCUCAUGCACGAAAGCGUGGGGAGCAAACA
rnacentral:rRNA from 1 species